UCCAGUGGACAAUCUUCAGACAAGCUUCUACAUCAGACAAAUCCCAAACGAACUUCUCUAGCAAUCGGACUCCAGCCAGAUUUUUCCAACAGAAAGUUUCUGUUCGGGCUUCUACAGCAGAUGACUUCCAUCUGUAGCAUCAACGCCUAAGCCACCCAACAAUAAUUAACCCAUCAGCAACCUCAAAAAAAUCUGAGCUUCUCUUAGAUUGCUGAGAUAGAGAGCUAUUCUACUCUACCAGACGUCCCAUCCGAGCUUCAGCCAUCCGGCC
rnacentral:lncRNA from 1 species